CGUAGGGGGCUAGCGUUGUCCGGAAUCAUUGGGCGUAAAGCGCGUGUAGGCGGCUCGGUAAGUCCGCUCUGAAAGCCCGGGGCUCAACCCCGGGAGGCGGGUGGAUACUGCCGAGCUCGAGUCCGGAAGAGGCAAGUGGAAUUCCCGGUGUAGCGGUGAAAUGCGCAGAUAUCGGGAGGAACACCAAUGGCGAAGGCAGCUUGCUGGGACGGUACUGACGCUGAGACGCGAAAGCGUGGGGAGCAAACAGGAUUAGAUACCCUGGUAGUCCACGCCGUAAACGAUGGACACUAGGUGUGGGGGGUGUCGACUCCCUCCGUGCCGAAGCUAACGCAUUAAGUGUCCCGCCUGGGGAGUACGGCCGCAAGGCUA
rnacentral:rRNA from 1 species